CAGUCGCCGCGGUAAUACGGAGGGAGCUAGCGUUGUUCGGAAUUACUGGGCGUAAAGCGCGCGUAGGCGGUUAUUUAAGUCAGGGGUGAAAGCCCGGUGCUCAACACCGGAACAGCCCUUGAGACUGGAAAACUUGAAUCCAGGAGAGGUGAGUGGAAUUCCGAGUGUAGAGGUGAAAUUCGUAGAUAUUCGGAAGAACACCAGUGGCGAAGGCGGCUCACUGGACUGGUAUUGACGCUGAGGUGCGAAAGCGUGGGGAGCAAACAGGAUUAGAUACCCGUGUAGUCCCUGUCUCUUAUAC
rnacentral:rRNA from 1 species